GGCGGGUACAGACGCUCCGCGCGCGAGGAAGGAGUGCCCCAAGGCAUGUGCUACAGGGAAAGCUGACCCCAUCGACAGUUCCAGGGGUGAUCCUGAAUUAGUCUAGGCCAUGAAUUCUAGGGCUUGUUCACCAAGUUGUUCUGCUAAGAUUCAUAUGAAAGUUACUUUGCAACUCUGGACAUACACCCUAUGGCAAUGAAGGGGACUGGACCCUGUGCUGAGUGAUGGAAAGAUAACA